rnacentral:lncRNA from 1 species
AUACUAUGAUUCAUUUUUGAUUAUAUACACUGCAUUCAUCUUGUACAUUUUCAAAUUUCUUACAUUUUAUUUCAUCAUUUCUUUCUUACAUCACAUUUACCUCAAAAUACACAUUACAUUCUUUCCUUUACAUUAUUUCUCAUCAAGUACAAAGAUGAUCAUAGGGUACUUUACUACAAAAUGAAACCCAACUUUGGUGGCCUCUGACUAAGGCGCGAUACCUUUACCUCGGUCGCUCGCCGGCUCGCUCGAUCCCGG